AGUGAACGCUGGCGGUAGGCCUAACACAUGCAAGUCGAACGGCAGCACAGUAAGAGCUUGCUCUUACGGGUGGCGAGUGGCGGACGGGUGAGGAAUACAUCGGAAUCUACUUUUUCGUGGGGGAUAACGUAGGGAAACUUACGCUAAUACCGCAUACGACCUACGGGUGAAAGCAGGGGAUCUUCGGACCUUGCGCGAUUGAAUGAGCCGAUGUCGGAUUAGCUAGUUGGCGGGGUAAAGGCCCACCAAGGCGACGAUCCGUAGCUGGUCUGAGAGGAUGGUCAGCCACACUGGAACUGAGACACGGUCCAGACUCCUACGGGAGGCAGCAGUGGGGAAUAUUGGACAAUGGGCGCAAGCCUGAUCCAGCCAUGCCGCGUGGGUGAAGAAGGCCUUCGGGUUGUAAAGCCCUUUUGUUGGGGAAGAAAAGCAGCAGGUUAAUACCCCGCUGUUCUGACGUUACCCAAAGAAUAAGCACCGGCUAACUUCGUG
rnacentral:rRNA from 1 species